rnacentral:rRNA from 1 species
CAGUCGCCGCGGUAAUACGAAGGGUGCAAGCGUUACUCGGAAUUACUGGGCGUAAAGCGUGCGUAGGUGGUGGUUUAAGUCCGUUGUGAAAGCCCUGGGCUCAACCUGGGAAUUGCAGUGGAUACUGGGUCACUAGAGUGUGGUAGAGGAUAGUGGAAUUUCCGGUGUAGCAGUGAAAUGCGUAGAGAUCGGAAGGAACAUCUGUGGCGAAGGCGACUAUCUGGGCCAUUACUGACACUGAGGCACGAAAGCGUGGGGAGCAAACAGGAUUAGAUACCCCAGUAGUCCCUGUCUCUUAUAC